rnacentral:rRNA from 1 species
GACGAACGCUGGCGGCGUGCUUAACACAUGCAAGUCGAACGGAAAGGCCCCAGCUUGCUGGAGUACUCGAGUGGCGAACGGGUGAGUAACACGUGGGUAAUCUGCCCUUCACUCUGGGAUGAGCCUGGGAAACUGGGUCUAGUACUGGAUAUGACCUUUCUCCUUAUGGGGUUGGGUGGAAAGUUUUUCGGUGUAGGAUGAGCCCGCGGCCUAUCAGCUUGUUGGUGGGGUGAUGGCCUACCAAGGCGACGACGGGUAGCCGGCCUGAGAGGGUGAUCGGCCACAUUGGGACUGAGAUACGGCCCAGACUCCUACGGGAGGCAGCAGUGGGGAAUAUUGCACAAUGGGCGGAAGCCUGAUGCAGCGACGCCGCGUGAGGGAUGACGGCCUUCGGGUUGUAAACCUCUUUCAGCAGGGACGAAGCGUAAGUGACGGUACCUGCAGAAGAAGCACCGGCUAACUAUGUG